rnacentral:rRNA from 1 species
UGCUCCUGAAGGUUAGCGCGGACGGGUGAGUAACACGUGGGCAACCUGCCUGUAAGACUGGGAUAACUUCGGGAAACCGGAGCUAAUACCGGAUAAUCCUUUUCCUCUCAUGAGGAAAAGCUGAAAGUCGGUUUCGGCUGACACUUACAGAUGGGCCCGCGGCGCAUUAGCUAGUUGGUGAGGUAACGGCUCACCAAGGCAACGAUGCGUAGCCGACCUGAGAGGGUGAUCGGCCACACUGGGACUGAGACACGGCCCAGACUCCUACGGGAGGCAGCAGUAGGGAAUCUUCCGCAAUGGACGAAAGUCUGACGGAGCAACGCCGCGUGAGCGAUGAAGGCCUUCGGGUCGUAAAGCUCUGUUGUUAGGGAAGAACAAGUGCCGGAGUAACUGCCGGCACCUUGACGGUACCUAACCAGAAAGCCACGG